AGUUUUUGCAUAGGAACCUUUUGAUUCUGUAAACUGGAAGUCAUCAUGUCAGACCUCAGUGAAAGGCUGAACAAAGUUUGGAGCAUAUAAUUUCUUCCUUAGCAAAAAGUUUUGUCGUGGACCUGUGAAGCCAAGAGGUGGCAGGAGGACAGCUUGAACUGAGUGAAAGAAUAGGACUGUUCAGCCUUUUUCAUGGAAGAGUAAAAAAAAUUCCUCGUCUUGCAAACAGUCUGAAUUUGAUACAGGAUGAGAUGCUGAAUACAGCUGGUCUAAUACUUGUAUUAUGACUUUGCUGUCUCUUCAAAUCCUUUACAUUGUGAAUUUCUAGUGAAAUGUUGAUGCACAUUCCAAGGAAAUGUUGUUCAAA